rnacentral:rRNA from 1 species
GUGAGUCAUCGAGUCUUUGAACGCAUAUUGCACCCUCUGGUAUUCCGGGGGGUAUAUCUGUCCGAGCGUCAUUACAACCUUAAAGCCCGGCUUUUUAAUGGAUAUCAGUUUCUAUUUUAUUAGAACGGAUCCGAAAGGUAUUAAUGACGUCGCGAUCACCACUGAAUCGAGCGAAUGGAAUUUUCACCGCUUGUUAUGAAGUGGCCGGCGGUCCUAUAGUGUAGCCAUUUGACUACUAUUUCUUACGGUUGACCUCGGAUCAGAUUAAGGAUACCCGCUGAACUUAAGCAUAUCAAUAAGCGGAGG